rnacentral:rRNA from 1 species
AUUGAACGCUGGCGGCAGGCUUAACACAUGCAAGUCGAACGGUAGCAGGAGAAAGCUUGCUUUCUUGCUGACGAGUGGCGGACGGGUGUGUAAUGCUUGGGAAUCUGUCUUAUGGAGUGGGAUAACUACGGGAAACUGUAGCUAAUACCGCGUAAUAUCUUCGGAUUAAAGAAUGGGACUUUUAGCCAUUCGCCAUAAGAUGAUCCCAAGUGGUAUUAGGUAGUUGGUGGGGUAAAGGCCUACCAAGCCGACGAUCUCUAGCUGGUCUGAGAGGAUGACCAGCCACACUGGAACUGAGACACGGUCAAGACUCCUACGGGAGGAAGAAGUGGGGAAUAUUGCGAAAUGGGGGAAACCCUGACGAAGCAAUGCCGCGUGAAUGAAGAAGGCCUUCGGGUUUUAAAGUUCUUUCGGUGGUGAGGAAGGCUAAUAUGUUAAUAGCAUAUUAGAUUGACGUUAGCCACAGAAGAAGCACCGGCUAACUCCGUG